CCUACGGGUGGCAGCAGUGGGGAAUAUUGCACAAUGGGGGAAACCCUGAUGCAGCGACGCCGCGUGAGUGAAGAAGUAUUUCGGUACGUAAAGCUCUAUCAUCAGGGAAGAAAAACCGGCCUUAGGGCCGCCAGCCGGUACCUGACUAAGAAGCCCCGGCUAACUACGUGCUAGCAGCCGCGGUACUACGUAGGGGAGAAGCGUUAUCCGGAUUUACUGGGUGUAAAGGGAGCGUAGACGGCAGCGCAAGUCUGGAGUGAAAUGCCGGGGCCCAACCCCGGAACUGCUUUGGAAACUGGGCAGCUGGAGUGCAGUAGAGGUAAGCGGAAUUCCUAGUGUAGCGGUGAAAUGCGUAGAUAUUAGGAGGAACACCAGUGGCGAAGGCGGCUUACUGGACUGUAACUGACGUUGAGGCUCGAAAGCGUGGGGAGCAAACAGGAUUAGAUACCCUUGUAGUC
rnacentral:rRNA from 1 species